rnacentral:rRNA from 1 species
GGAAGUAAAAGUCGUAACAAGGUCUCCGUUGGUGAACCAGCGGAGGGAUCAUUACCGAGUUUACAACUCCCAAACCCUUAUGUGAACCGUACCUAUCGUUGCUUCGGCGGGAACGCCCCGGCGCCCUGCGCCCGGAUCCAGGCGCCCGCCGGAGACCCCAAACUCUUGUGUUUUUUUCAGUAUUCUCUGAGUGGCAAACGCAAAAAUAAAUCAAAACUUUUAACAACGGAUCUCUUGGCUCUGGCAUCGAUGAAGAACGCAGCGAAAUGCGAUAAGUAAUGUGAAUUGCAGAAUUCAGUGAAUCAUCGAAUCUUUGAACGCACAUUGCGCCCGUUAGCAUUCUAGCGGGCAUGCCUGUCCGAGCGUCAUUUCAACCCUCAGGGUCCCCGUUCCGGCGGGGAACCUGGUGUUGGGGAUCGGCCCGCCCCGCGCGGCGCCGUCCCCCAAAUUCAGUGGCGGUCUCGCUGCAGCCUCCCCUGCGUAGUAGUUACAACCGCGCAUCGGAGCUCAGCGCGGCCACGCCGUAAAACCCCCGACUUUCUGAACGUUGACCUCGGGUCAGGUAGGAAUACCCGCUGAACUUAAGCAUAUCAAUAAGCGGAGGA